rnacentral:misc_RNA from 1 species
UGGUUCUCGCAUCGAUGAAGAACGCGGCGAAAUGCGAUAAGUAAUGUGAAUUGCAGAUUUCAGUGAAUCAUCGAAUCUUUGAACGCACCUUGCGCUCCUCGGUUUUCCGUGGAGCAUGCCUGUUUGAGUGCCCAGAAUACUCUCAAUCCUUACACCUUGUGUGUAUUGGAUUGGAAGGUGGGGGUUCUGCCGCCUGUCUUGGGUGGCUCCCCUUGAAUGCGUUAGCGGGACUGUACACGUAAAGUCUGCCCUUGGCUUGAUAUUAAUGUCGAUGCCGCGGUUGCGUCUUGGUGUUGUCCGCUUACAAUUGUCCUAGGACAAAUUUCUUUUGACUCGGGCCUCAAAUCAGGUAGGACUACCCGCUGA